UACAGAGGUCUCAAGCGUUGUUCGGAUUCAUUGGGCGUAAAGGGUGCGUAGGCGGCGUGGUAAGUCGGGUGUGAAAUCUCGGAGCUUAACUCCGAAACUGCAUUCGAUACUGCGGUGCUUGAGGACUGGAGAGGAGACUGGAAUUCAUGGUGUAGCAGUGAAAUGCGUAGAGAUCAUGAGGAAGACCAGUGGCGAAGGCGGGUCUCUGGACAGUUCCUGACACUGAGACACGAAGGCCAGGGGAGCAAACGGG
rnacentral:rRNA from 1 species